CUGAAUUAUACUCCUUUCGUAAAAGCUGAUGUAAAAUUCUGUUUCAAAUUAAGUAUGUAACUUAAGAGGUUACUUGAUUGGGUAAAAAAAGAGGUUGUGUAUUUUGUUUCAA